AACGAACGCUGGCGGCGUGCCUAAUACAUGCAAGUCGAACGAGAUCUUCGGAUCUAGUGGCGCACGGGUGCGUAACGCGUGGGAAUCUGCCCUUGGGUUCGGAAUAACUUCUGGAAACGGAAGCUAAUACCGGAUGAUGACGUAAGUCCAAAGAUUUAUCGCCCAAGGAUGAGCCCGCGUAGGAUUAGCUAGUUGGUGGGGUAAAGGCCCACCAAGGCGACGAUCCUUAGCUGGUCUGAGAGGAUGAUCAGCCACACUGGGACUGAGACACGGCCCAGACUCCUACGGGAGGCAGCAGUAGGGAAUAUUGGACAAUGGGCGAAAGCCUGAUCCAGCAAUGCCGCGUGAGUGAUGAAGGCCUUAGGGUUGUAAAGCUCUUUUACCCGGGAUGAUAAUGACAGUACCGGGAGAAUAAGCUCCGGCUAACUCCGUG
rnacentral:rRNA from 1 species